GGGGCAGCGUCCAGUCUGUUCUGGAAAGGGCAGCGUCCCUGACCUUUAUUUCCACCCUUUCGAGCAUGGGCAGUCAGCCGAGCCUCUUUGACAUGGGAGACAUCAGCUCCGAGGAAGAGGAUGAGGGGAAACAGCACGAAGCCCUGGAUAGAACAGCCAGCCAUAACCCCACCAUCAAAAGUGCAAUGAGCAGCACCACCAUCGACUCUAACAGUGCUGUGUUUACAUCAGAUACAGAGGAAGGACAAGGAGUUGAU
rnacentral:sRNA from 1 species